rnacentral:rRNA from 1 species
AGGACGAACGCUGGCGGUGUGCUUCACACAUGCAAGUCGAACGGAGUAGCAAUACUCAGUGGCGGACGGGUGAGUAACACGUGGGAAUCUGCCUUUAGAUGGGGGAUAGCAGACCGAAAGGUCUAUUAAUACCGCAUAUGCCGAGAGGUGAAAGUAGCAAUACGUCUGAAGAUGAGCCCGCGCCCGAUUAGCUAGUUGGUAAGGUAAAAGCUUACCAAGGCUACGAUCGGUAGCUGGUCUGAGAGGAUGAUCAGCCACAAUGGAACUGAGACACGGUCCAUACUCCUACGGGAGGCAGCAGUGGGGAAUUUUACACAAUGGGCGAAAGCCUGAUGUAGCGACACCGCGUGAGCGAAGAAGCCUUUGGGUGUAAAGCUCUGUCAGCAGGGACGAAAAAAAUGACGGUACCUGCAGAGGAAGCAUCGGCUAACUACGUGCCAGCAGCCGC